rnacentral:rRNA from 1 species
UACGAAGGGGGCUAGCGUUGUUCGGAAUUACUGGGCGUAAAGCGCACGUAGGCGGGUCGUUAAGUCAGGGGUGAAAUCCCGGAGCUCAACUCCGGAACUGCCUUUGAUACUGGCGAUCUAGAGGUCGAGAGAGGUGAGUGGAAUUCCGAGUGUAGAGGUGAAAUUCGUAGAUAUUCGGAAGAACACCAGUGGCGAAGGCGGCUCACUGGCUCGAUUCUGACGCUGAGGUGCGAAAGCGUGGGGAGCAAACAGG